GAAGAAGAAGAAGAAGAAGAAGAAGAAGAAGAAGACAGGAAUCCCUGGAGAUAUCGCCCAUCAUCUACUGACCUAACAAGAGCCAUGACGUCAACGCAAAUACUGACGUCACCGCUUCAAGUCCUCUUCCUACUCUUACUUGGAUUCGCCGCCGUGAAAUCAGAGUCGGCGAGACAUAGAUCAGUGCAAGCGAAGCUGAUGAGCAUAUACGACUCGCCGCGAACUCGCUUCGUACCGCGAAGAAUCAUGAGAUCAUAUGAACAACACGACGCGGUCCCAGCCGUUCAAGGUUUGAUAU